rfam:Fusarium langsethiae strain Fl201059 Fl201059_contig254, whole genome shotgun sequence.
GGGCGAAUGGUUUAGUGGUAUAAUACUCCCUUAGCAUGUUCGCUCUUCUGAGCUCAUGAUUGGGAGUGGUCCAGGGUUCGAUUCCCUGUUCGUCCA